rnacentral:tRNA from 1 species
UUUCCUUUAGCUUAAAUAAAGCGUUAGUUUGAAGCUCUGAAGUUAACUUGUGUUAGGGAGGU